GCUUUUUAGUGAACACCGCAGCAAAUAAAGCUACCAAGAUGCAGUCUUUCCAAGAUGUAAGUUUAUGUAGUUCUAUACGAAGACAAGUGAGAGGCGCUGUAGGGCUCUGUAGAAAGCCAAAGCAAAAGGGGAGGAGCGGUAUCGGGGAGUAAAGUAGCCACACGGUGUGUCUGUCCCACCAGGCAUUCGCUCGAAUCUAACCAACCGACGCUGAGCAGGGAUCGGAUAAAGACGCGUUCUGUGGCAUCUGCCAAAACUCCCGACCACUCCGCUCACAAUUGUCAACGGAGAGACAGUAGCCCGCAAACAGCGGACACCUGACAGGCAACAGAAGGGAUAAAGCAAGAGGCAACAUAAUACAUUUAGCCGUAAAAUGCAACAGUCUUUGUUGGAUUAAAACAUCAUUCAAAGAUAAGCGUCGUAUAGGCAGUGAAACAAGGACGAACGCCGGUGCUGAAGCUGAACUGCGACUAGGGAGGUGUAGACGGGAAUACUCAAAAGAUCGAAUUUGUCUGAUGAGAAUCGCCAUCCACCAGAGACCUAAGAUACCAAAGACAAUCUGAGCGACGCACCUUUUGUUGGCGUAAAGUAAAAGUCCAGCUGUCGCCUCGACAAUGUGUUAUGUUUGGAGGAUUCUGGGGGCUGAACAGAAUCAGUGUUGUGGAUAGCGCCGCCACCGGAUGCCCUGGAUUGUUUUUUAACUGUUUGUCAUGGGAACUUACUGUAGAUAUGAAUG
rnacentral:lncRNA from 1 species